AGUGAACGCUGGCGGUAGGCCUAACACAUGCAAGUCGAACGGCAGCACAGGAGAGCUUGCUCUCUGGGUGGCGAGUGGCGGACGGGUGAGGAAUACAUCGGAAUCUACUUUUUCGUGGGGGAUAACGUAGGGAAACUUACGCUAAUACCGCAUACGACCUACGGGUGAAAGCAGGGGACCUUCGGGCCUUGCGCGAUUGAAUGAGCCGAUGUCGGAUUAGCUAGUUGGCGGGGUAAAGGCCCACCAAGGCGACGACCCGUAGCUGGUCUGAGAGGAUGAUGAGCCACACUGGAACUGAGACACGGUCCAGACUCCUACGGGAGGCAGCAGUGGGGAAUAUUGGACAAUGGGCGCAAGCCUGAUCCAGCCAUACCGCGUGGGUGAAGAAGGCCUUCGGGUUGUAAAGCCCUUCUGUUGGGAAAGAAAUCCAGCUGGCUAAUACCCGGUUGGGAUGACGGUACCCAAAGAAUAAGCACCGGCUAACUUCGUGCCAGCAGCCGCAGUAA
rnacentral:rRNA from 1 species